rnacentral:misc_RNA from 1 species
GCCUUGAUUGAUUGAUUGCGUGCUUUGAAGACUAUCAACCUCAAAAGUGCCGUCAUUACCCAGGUUUCUUCUAUACUGGGCAUUGGCCAGCCUCCUUUCAAGUGGAGUUUUCCUUGUGCUCACAACAAAUCUAUUGACUCCUUUCCUCAGUGGAAUGAUUUCAGGGAAAUCUUCAUCAGCUAUGGCACUGCUCAUCAUGUCUGAAGAACGCUGAGAAAGUUUGCUAAACCACCGUUGUGCCUUCUCUUCAUUGGCAGCUAGCCUGCCAUCCACAUCAGCCUUAUUUGU